AUUGAACGCUGGCGGCAGGCCUAACACAUGCAAGUCGAACGAGUGGCGGACGGGUGAGUAAUUUCUGGGAAACUGCCUGAUGGAGGGGGAUAACUACUGGAAACGGUAGCUAAUACCGCCUACCAUCGGAUGUGCCCCGAUGGGAUUAGCUAGUAGGUUGGGUAAAGGCGCACCUAGGCGACGAUCCCUAGCUGGUCUGAGAGGAUGACCAGCCAACCUGGAACUGAACCACGGUCCAGUAUCCUACGGGAGGCAGCAGUGGUGAAUAUUGCACCAUGGGCGCAAUCCUGAGGCAGCCGUGCCGCGUGUAUGAAGAAGGCCUUCGGGUUGUAAAGUACUUUCAGCGUGGAGACGUUACCCGCAGAAGAAGCACCGGCUAACUCCGUGCCAGCAGCCGCGGUAAUAC
rnacentral:rRNA from 1 species